AAAUCAUAUUUAGUGGACAUAACACUGGAUUUGCACACUGCAUUGAGCCCUAGAUAUAAAAAGGAAGCCUAGGUAAGACUUGGUGCCCAUCUUACUGCAAGAGACAGAGUCCAGAGAGCACUUGGUCUUUGAUGCAAUGUAAUGCAUGCCCUUCAGGAAAUAUGAGCUGAGGGGGUAGAAUAGCAUGAGACAAUUAUCCUCUCUGUUCCCAGGAACAAGUUGAAUGAAUAGAGCAAAAGCUAUCCCGGAUGCCUCUGAUAUUCUAAUAAUUGAUGAACAUUAGUAUUUUCAUGGGGAUUGGCUAAAGUCACAUCAUUUGGUUUCAGAUUUGCUAGGCCACCUCUUCUUCCAUCGUCUCCCUCCCUGACAGUUCCCUGGAAACAAGCCGCCACUGGGAAGGUGCCAUCUGAUUUCAGCUUGCUAAUCGGCGUUUCCGGAAAACUUUAAGCAUAGACCCACAGAGCCCUUAAUGAGAAAGCUCGUUAAAAGGCCGUCUAAAGCAGUGAAACAGAUUACAUGCACACACAGCCCACUCUUUUCCUCUUGGUUUCCUCCUCUCCCUCCCAGACUGCGGCGCUAACAUGACAAGGUGACAUGAGUCAUCAGGUGGAACAGAGGCCUUGCCACUCCACUCCAAACAAGCUGUCUCUGCCUCGCCGCCGCUGUGAUGACAUUUCUCUUGCUUCACUGUGGCAGGAAAAUGUGGCCCGCAACAGCAGGAGGGCCGUGUACUUGUAAUGAUGGCCUUGGUAAAGCCUUUGAUUGUGUGUAUUUGGGUGGAACUUGAGCUUGUAAUUGGCAAACGCACACACUGUCUGCUGCAGUCUCUCUCUCUUUAGAAAGCUUGUUUAUCCCAGGGCAAGCCAAGUUUCCUAUUUUUUUUGUGGGGGGUGCAUUUCCUGGAAUGUUACUUCAGGGGAUGGUAGGGAGUAUUCAUGGCUAACCCUGUGAUAGUGUCUUAUUAGAUCAUUCCCUAGCACAUUCUCCUGUGAGGAAACCUAAUGCUAACUGGGAGUUUCAUGAGGUAAGCUAGGUUUCCUGCCUCCUGGCUCAAAAGGAAGUGAUGGUGGUGCCUGUCUAGUGGGAGGAAGAAAGGGGAGGUGAUUAUUUUUUUUCCUUCUCUUGUCCUGAGAAGUAUGAAAGGAAGACUGCACGUACCAAAACUUCCACACCUGGUACAUGAGCAAUGUCUGUGGGGAAGAGGAAAUCCUCCUACCAUCUCGCCCCUUGACUUACAAGGCUCACAGGUGUCUUCCGUACUGAGACUAAAAUUCUUGUAACCUUGCUGGGUUCCAUGCUCAGGCAGAGAGUCACAAGACCAAAUGAUCAGCACCCUCCAAUGGCUUGAGUCUGGGAAAUUUGGCCAAUACCUCGACGCCUCAGUGGCUGCCAUGUCCCAGGCACGGAACCAGGCACUUGGAAUGCAAAACCUGAGAAAUCACCACCUCUUUUCUGAAGUUUUUCUUACUUUUCUUCAGAAUAAAGAAACAUUGGUUUAUCAUAACACCAGAUGCUAAGUGCUUUAGUGACUCUAUGUAGCAGAGAGGGACCGAGUAUGUUUUUGAGGUUGAGAGAGACCAAGAGUUAGGAAAGAGUGCUCAAACCGGAAGCUGGAAUAGGAUUCUGAGGAAAAAGAACUCACUUAAGGAAAGGGAGAGACAGAGAGGUGUACAUGCGUGGUUGAAGGCGUUGAGGGUAGCAGAGGGGACUGGAGGCAGGACAGAACGGAGCCGGCUGAGGAGAACAAGCAGUGACUGGUUUCAGAAGCCACAAGAAGCCAGCCAUGGUAGAGACUGACAAGUAUCUUUGAGACUAGACAAACAGGACAUCAUUGGGGACAGCAAGAACACUCUUAGUGGCACUUGGGACUGGUGCACGGUGGGAUGAGUGAAACCAACAAGUAUAUUCGAAAAGUUUAUGGACUUGGCUGUGAGGAGGUGUCUGUCAAUGAGAUAGUGUUUUUCUGUAUAGCCCUGGCUGCCCUGGAACUCACGCUGUAGACCAGGUUGACAUCACCACUACGGCCCCCCGGCUACCUGGUUGGCCGUGGGGAUGGAGAGAAACACCAACCUGAACAGUGAGACUAGAGAGCUAAUGCAGCGUUGUAUACAUUUCCUUGGGGCCUCCGGCAGCUCCUGGAUGUUAAAUAUUAUCUCUCCGUGUGAUUUGCAGCAGAAGGAAGAAUCAUCUGUUACUCUUUUACUUCCCUAAUGAGCCCUCAAGCUGGUUUGCAGGGCAGCAUUGGAUCUCCUGCCUCCUUCGGAGAAGACGAAUGAUGGUUUGGAUUUAAUUGCUUGAUGUUAAUCUCCUUCAGGACUCAACUUUUAUUCUUCUUGUUUCUUCAUUGGGCCUCACUCCCAAAUAAAACUAAAUAACCAGGACAACCAGAAACAAUAGCUGAAAGUAUACAGCAAGGUGUGGUGGCAACACCUUGAUGGGCAGGCUAGACGUUUCCUUUGCUACCAUGGUAACUACUACUAAACAACCUGCCUUGCUGUUGACUGCUCUCUGUAAAUGUGAAUGUUCUUUUACAUACAAGUGCUCAGAUGAACUCAACUACCUAAAAUACUUUUGUUGGACUCUAGUGUCCAACCCGAGAAGGAGUCGCCCCCAGAGACCACCUCAUACACCACAGCCGAUGCAAAAGCAUGAGGAUUUUCUUAAUUCUGUC